GUCGAGAAUCUUUCACAAUGGGGGCAACCCUGAUGGAGCGACGCCGCGUGGAGGAUAAGGUCUUCGGAUUGUAAACUCCUGUCAUGCGUGAACAAGGUUGCUUGGUUAAUACCUGGGCAAAUUGAUGGUAACGCAAGAGGAAGAGACGGCUAACUCUGUGCCAGCAGCCGCGGUAAUACAGAGGUCUCAAGCGUUGUUCGGAAUCACUGGGCGUAAAGGGUGCGUAGGUGGCGUGGUAAGUCAGAUGUGAAAGCCCGGGGCUCAACCUCGGAACUGCAUCCGAUACUGCCAUGCUAGAGUACUGGAGAGGUGACGAGAAUUCUCGGUGUAGCAGUGAAAUGCGUAGAUAUCGAGAGGAAUACCAAAGGCGUAGGCAGGUCACUGGACAGUUACUGACACUGAGGCACGAAGGCCAGGGGAGCGAACGGGAUUAGAAACCCCUGUAGUCC
rnacentral:rRNA from 1 species